rnacentral:rRNA from 1 species
AUUGAACGCUGGCGGCAUGCCUUACACAUGCAAGUCGAACGGUAACAAGUCUUCGGAUGCUGACGAGUGGCGAACGGGUGAGUAAUACAUCGGAACGUGCCUAGUAGUGGGGGAUAACUACUCGAAAGAGUGGCUAAUACCGCAUGAGAUCUACGGAUGAAAGCAGGGGAUCGCAAGACCUUGUGCUACUAGAGCGGCCGAUGGCAGAUUAGGUAGUUGGUGGGAUAAAAGCUUACCAAGCCGACGAUCUGUAGCUGGUCUGAGAGGACGAUCAGCCACACUGGGACUGAGACACGGCCCAGACACCUACGGGAGGCAGCAGUGGGGAAUUUUGGACAAUGGGCGCAAGCCUGAUCCAGCAAUGCCGCGUGCAGGAUGAAGGCCUUCGGGUUGUAAACUGCUUUUGUACGGAACGAAAAGCCCUGGGUUAAUACCCUGGGGUCAUGACGGUACCGUAAGAAUAAGCACCGGCUAACUACGUGCCAGCCGCCGCAGUAACAC